GAAUUCAACUCCUACGGGAGGCAGCAGUAGGGAAUCUUCCACAAUGGACGAAAGUCUGAUGGAGCAACGCCGCGUGAGUGAAGAAGGUUUUCGGAUCGUAAAACUCUGUUGUAAGGGAAGAACACGUACGAGAGUAACUGCUCGUACCUUGACGGUACCUUAUUAGAAAGCCACGGCUAACUACGUGCCAGCAGCCGCGGUAAUACGUAGGUGGCAAGCGUUGUCCGGAAUUAUUGGGCGUAAAGCGCGCGCAGGCGGUUCUUUAAGUCUGAUGUGAAAGCCCACGGCUCAACCGUGGAGGGUCAUUGGAAACUGGAGAACUUGAGUACAGAAGAGGAAAGCGGAAUUCCACGUGUAGCGGUGAAAUGCGUAGAGAUGUGGAGGAACACCAGUGGCGAAGGCGGCUUUCUGGUCUGUAACUGACGCUGAGGCGCGAAAGCGUGGGGAGCAAACAGGAUUAGAAACCCUAGUAGUCCAGGCGUU
rnacentral:rRNA from 1 species